GCUUGUUUGUGAUUGCCUUGCUUGUGAUGAACUCUAACCUGAACAAACUUAGUGAGGCGGAGGACAAUCUGCAUAAGAAUGUCUUCCCAAGCUUCAAACAUACAGGCAAACAUGAAGACAGCAGUCCAGUGUCCAGCUGCAACACAGUCACAGUCAACUAAUGAUAUCAACCUCAGACACUCUAUUCAGUGCAGGGAUGCCACAUGUAACCUGGUAGUAUAAGGUUAUGUGUGACUCAACCUGUUUGCACUUUGUUUACUAUGACAUCAACCUUCAAUAAAUAACAGCUACAUAAAAUGA